GUAAUGUAUGGGGAUCUGCCCGAUAGAGGGGGAUAACUACUGGAAACGGUGGCUAAUACCGCAUAAUGUCUACGGACCAAAGCAGGGGCUCUUCGGACCUUGCACUAUCGGAUGAACCCAUAUGGGAUUAGCUAGUAGGUGGGGUAAAGGCUCACCUAGGCGACGAUCUCUAGCUGGUCUGAGAGGAUGAUCAGCCACACUGGGACUGGGACACGGCCCAG
rnacentral:rRNA from 1 species